rnacentral:rRNA from 1 species
UACGGAGGGGGGCUAGCGUUGUUCGGAAUUACUGGGCGUAAAGCGCACGUAGGCGGCUUUGUAAGUUAGAGGUGAAAGCCCGGGGCUCAACUCCGGAAUUGCCUUUAAGACUGCAUCGCUAGAAUUGUGGAGAGGUAAGUGGAAUUCCGAGUGUAGAGGUGAAAUUCGUAGAUAUUCGGAAGAACACCAGUGCGAAGGCGACUUACUGGACACAUAUUGACGCUGAGGUGCGAAAGCGUGGGGAGCAAACAGG